rnacentral:rRNA from 1 species
UACGUAGGGUGCAAGCGUUAAUCGGAAUUACUGGGCGUAAAGCGUGCGCAGGCGGUUUUGUAAGUCAGAUGUGAAAUCCCCGGGCUUAACCUGGGAACUGCGUUUGAAACUACAAGGCUAGAGUGUGGCAGAAGGGGGUGGAAUUCCACGUGUAGCAGUGAAAUGCGUAGAGAUGUGGAGGAACACCGAUGGCGAAGGCGGCGACCUGGUCUGAUACUGACGCUGAGGCGCGACAGCGUGGGGAGCAAACAGG